GCUCCGUUGGUGAACCAGCGGAGGGAUCAUUACCGAGUUAUUCAACUCCCAAACCCCUGUGAACUUAUACCUUUACUGUUGCUUCGGCGGGUUAACGCCCCGGAAGGCCCGCGAGGGCCGCCGGAACCAGGCGCCCGCCGGGGGACCCAAACUCUUGUAUCUUUUUUAUAGCAUGUCUGAGUGGAAUCAUAAACAAAUGAAUCAAAACUUUCAACAACGGAUCUCUUGGUUCUG
rnacentral:misc_RNA from 1 species